GAUGAACGCUGGCGGCGUGCCUAAUACAUGCAAGUCGAGCGAACAGACGAGGAGCUUGCUCCUUCGACGUUAGCGGCGGACGGGUGAGUAACACGUAGGUAACCUACCUAUAAGACUGGGAUAACUUCGGGAAACCGGAGCUAAUACCGGAUAAUAUUUCGAACCGCAUGGUUCGAUAGUGAAAGAUGGCUUUGCUAUCACUUAUAGAUGGACCUGCGCCGUAUUAGCUAGUUGGUAAGGUAACGGCUUACCAAGGCAACGAUACGUAGCCGACCUGAGAGGGUGAUCGGCCACACUGGAACUGAGACACGGUCCAGACUCCUACGGGAGGCAGCAGUAGGGAAUCUUCCGCAAUGGGCGAAAGCCUGACGGAGCAACGCCGCGUGAGUGAUGAAGGUCUUCGGAUCGUAAAACUCUGUUAUUAGGGAAGAACAAAAGUGUAAGUAACUGUGCACAUCUUGACGGUACCUAAUCAGAAAGCCACGGCUAACUACGUG
rnacentral:rRNA from 1 species